UACGUAGGUGGCAAGCGUUAUCCGGAUUUAUUGGGCGUAAAGGGAACGCAGGCGGUCUUUUAAGUCUGAUGUGAAAGCCUUCGGCUUAACCGGAGUAGUGCAUUGGAAACUGGGAGACUUGAGUGCAGAAGAGGAGAGUGGAACUCCAUGUGUAGCGGUGAAAUGCGUAGAUAUUAGGAGGAACACCAGUGGCGAAGGCGGCCUGCUGGACGGUGACUGACGCUGAGGCUCGAAAGCGUGGGGAGCAAACAGG
rnacentral:rRNA from 1 species